rnacentral:rRNA from 1 species
AAUUUUGGACAAUGGGGGAAACCCUGAUCCAGCCAUCCCGCGUGUAUGAUGAAGGCCUUCGGGUUGUAAAGUCCUUUUGGCGGGGAAGAAAAGGUAUCUCCUAAUACGGAAUACGCCUGAGGUUAUCUGCAGAAAGCGCCCGGGGUAACUCGGUGCAGGCAGCCGCGGUAAUACGUAGGGUGCAAGCGUUAAUCGGAAUUACUGGGCGUAAAGCGUGUGUAGGCGGUUCGAAAAGAAAGAUGUGAAAUCCCAGGGCUCAACCUUGGAACUGCAUUUUUAACUGCCGAGCUAGAGUAUGUCAGAGGGGGGUAGAAUUCCACGUGUAGCAGUGAAAUGCGUAGAUAUGUGGAGGAAUACCGAUGGCGAAGGCAGCCCCCUGGGAUAAUACUGACGCUCAGACACGAAAGCGUGGGGAGCAAACA